rnacentral:rRNA from 1 species
CACCCUUGUCAUUAGUUGCUACAUUUAGUUGGGCACUCUAAUGAGACUGCCGGUGACAACCGGAGGAAGGUGGGGAUGACGUCAAGUCCUCAUGGCCCUUAUAGGUGGGGCUACACACGUCAUACAAUGGCUGGUACAGAGGGUUGCCAACCCGCGAGGGGGAGCCAAUCCCAUAAAGCCAGUCGUAGUCCGGAUCGCAGUCUGCAACUCGACUGCGUGAAGUCGGAAUCGCUAGUAAUCGCGGAUCAGAAUGUCGCGGUGAAUACGUUCCCGGGUCUUGUACACACCGCCCGUCACACCAUGGGAGCGGGUUCUGCCAGAAGUAGUUAGCCUAACCGCAAGGAGGGCGAUUACCACGGCAGGGUUCGUGACUGGGGUGAAGU